rnacentral:rRNA from 1 species
UCAGGACGAACGCUGGCGGCGUGCCUAAUACAUGCAAGUCGAGCGGACAGAUGGGAGCUUGCUCCUGAUGUUAGCGGCGGACGGGUGAGUAACACGUGGGUAACCUGCCUGUAAGACUGGGAUAACUCCGGGAAACCGGGGCUAAUACCGGAUGGUUGUUUGAACCGCAUGGUUCAGACAUAAAAGGUGGCUUUGGCUACCACUUACAGAUGGACCCGCGGCGCAUUAGCUAGUUGGUGAGGUAACGGCUCACCAAGGCGACGAUGCGUAGCCGACCUGAGAGGGUGAUCGGCCACACUGGGACUGAGACACGGCCCAGACUCCUACGGGAGGCAGCAGUAGGGAAUCUUCCGCAAUGGACGAAAGUCUGACGGAGCAACGCCGCGUGAGUGAUGAAGGUUUUCGGAUCGUAAAGCUCUGUUGUUAGGGAAGAACAAGUGCCGUUCAAAUAGGGCGGCACCUUGACGGUACCUAACCAGAAAGCCACGGCUAACUACGUGCCAGCAGCCGCGGUAAUACGUAGGUGGCAAGCGUUGUCCGGAAUUAUUGGGCGUAAAGGGCUCGCAGGCGGUUUCUUAAGUCUGAUGUGAAAGCCCCCGGCUCAACCGGGGAGGGUCAUUGGAAACUGGGGAACUUGAGUGCAGAAGAGGAGAGUGGAAUUCCACGUGUAGCGGUGAAAUGCGUAGAGAUGUGGAGGAACACCAGUGGCGAAGGCGACUCUCUGGUCUGUAACUGACGCUGAGGAGCGAAAGCGUGGGGAGCGAACAGGAUUAGAUACCCUGGUAGUCCACGCCGUAAACGAUGAGUGCUAAGUGUUAGGGGGUUUCCGCCCCUUAGUGCUGCAGCUAACGCAUUAAGCA